AGUGCUUUGAGGAUUCAGAUGCAACUACAGCUCAUUAACUACCUACCAUGUUACAGUACACUUAAUCCCUACGAGGAGUUUGUGAGGUGGGUAGCAUUAGCCUCUUCUAUAGAGGGGGAGAUUGAAUCCUGGACAGGUAAAGUCAGUUCUCCAAGGUCCUGCUGCUACAAAGGGACAGGGAUGGGAUUGAACCCAGAUCCGUAUGACUUGAUGACUUGCCAGGCCAGUGCCCUUUCCACUAAGAGAGGGAAAACAAGGACAGGCUGCCUCUGAAAUACAAGCUACGAGCUAGGGAGGUGCCAGGUGUGGGGGAAUAGAGAGGGGCUCUGGGUAGGGGCUGCCAACUCCCAUAAGGCCAACAAAUAGGACCUCCAGGCAAACAACAGCUGAUGCACUCCAGGGGCGAGGGUUGGGGUAAGCGCCAGCGGGAUGGGGCAGGGAGGCCAUCUGCCUGGGAGACCCCAGGGUAUCUGGCCUGCGGCGACCGGGACGUGACCACCACGUGGCUGAGCUCCGGGCUCCGAGCUCUGCUGCCCUCUAGCGGCAGAUGGGGGUCUGUGCAGAUCUCCAUCGCGCACCCCUGCUGCCCGCACCGAUUUCUCCUCCUCCUUUCCCUGCGAGCAUCCUGUCCCCUCUGACUCCCAUCCUUCACCCCCGCCCAGCCUGCCCUCACCAGCGGGAGAGCGAAGCCGUUGCGCGUCUUCCCCGGCGUCCAGCCGAAGGGCAGGGAGAGCCCGUCCUCGUACUCCGCGGGCAGCCAGCGCGCCAGAGCCCUGUUGGCGGCGCCCAGCGCAGGCUUCCUCCUGAAACCAGCACGAUCCUCGCUGAGCUUCGGCAGGCCGGCUCUGGGGCUUCAAAGCCCAGGACCUCAUGGGGCAAGGAGCCUCUGCUCAAGGCGGAGGGGACGCAGAGAAGGGGGCCUCUCAAAUGUGCGGUCUCUGAACUGCGACCACACCCUGAAGGCGCGGGGCUCCCCCGCCCCCGGGAAAGGCACCCGUGGGAGGCAGAAAAUGGAGACCAGAGGUGAACCUGCAUGUUUUGGAAUGCAUUCCAUUCUUAACCAAGGAGCAGAAACCCAGGCUGGGAAGGAGGAGCCCCAGAAAGAGGGAGAAGGAGACUGCACUCUCUUCUCCUGCCAGAGGCCUCAAGCAGUUCUGAGCUGAAGGAAGAGAACAGAGCCCCCACUGCCCAUCACAAGCUGGAAAGGAACAGAGAGAGCCAAGAGAUCAUAAUGAACGACUGAAUCUUGUCUCAUUUACAGUUGGGAGAAAAUAGCAGUUCAAGCCCCCUUUUCCAAACCUAAGAUGGAACUUCAAUGCCUAUUUCCCAGAUGCUGAAAGAAUCUUUUAGAAGCAACAGAACUCAUGCUUGCUUCGCGCCCAGGCUUGCGAAGCUGCCUUCUUAGGUGUCUAUGCUGGAGGGAGGCUGGGGUCCUGAGUAGGGGCCCCAAGAAGGCGUCCUGCCCUGCUUGCUGACUAACCCACAGGUCGGGGCAGGCUGCAGGGUAUGUGCUCCCUAGGACUUACUGUAAAUGGCUGAAUUCUCACUACUUCCCUCCUGGGGCUCCGCCCUGAUGAUUUUGGGGUACAUGAGGAUAAUAGAUGCUCUGGAAGAUUGUGGUGGAGGCUGGAAUGGAGUGAAACGCUCAAACAGUCUCUGUCUGUGAUGGGAUUCCUUCCACUCUGGUGGGAACCUGGGGAGGGUGAAGUGGUAAUUGCCUCUCACUCUUCUCACAAUGCUAAGAAGGGGACAGAGGCCGGGGAGAGGAAGUGAAAGAAUCUUCACCAUCCUACUCUCUUCAAAUGAAUACAGGCUUUCCAAGAGGCCGAAAGAGUGCACUGUAGAAUGUGCUUCCACUCAGUGAGCAACACGGUCUCUGAUAUGCCUCUAACAAAAGAUAAUUGUGACCAGGUACCCCUGAAGGAAACUGAGAUUCUAAAAUUUCUUUGAUAUCUUACUUUUUUAAGAGAAAAAUUUUUAUUUUGGAAUAAUUUUGGAUUUAUCAUAUUAUUACAAAGAUAAUACAGAGUUUCUGAACACUCCAUACCCAGUUUCCAUUAUGAUUAUCUUAUUUUACAAUGGUACGUUUGUCACAAUUAAUAAAGCAAUAUUGUUACAUUA